UGGGGAAUAUUGGGCAAUGGGCGAAAGCCUGACCCAGCAACGCCGCGUGAAGGAAGAAGGUUUUCGGAUCGUAAACUUCUAUCCUUGGUGAAGAUAAUGACGGUAGCCAAGAAGGAAGCCCCGGCUAACUACGUGCCAGCAGCCGCGGUAAUACGUAGGGGGCAAGCGUUGUCCGGAAUGAUUGGGCGUAAAGGGCGCGUAGGCGGCCUGGUAAGUCUGGAGUGAAAGUCCUGCUUUUAAGGUGGGAAUUGCUUUGGAUACUGCUGGGCUUGAGUGCAGGAGAGGUAAGUGGAAUUCCCGGUGUAGCGGUGAAAUGCGUAGAGAUCGGGAGGAACACCAGUAGCGAAGGCGACUUACUGGACUGUAACUGACGCUGAGGCGCGAAAGUGUGGGGAGCAAACAG
rnacentral:rRNA from 1 species